GCCGACGUGGCUCGACUGAGAAAGGCAUCUGUCUUGUAAACAGAUCAAUGCUGGUGCGAAUCCAGUCGUCGGCUC
rnacentral:tRNA from 1 species